AGUGAACGCUGGCGGUAGGCCUAACACAUGCAAGUCGAACGGCAGCACAGUAAGAGCUUGCUCUUACGGGUGGCGAGUGGCGGACGGGUGAGGAAUACAUCUGAAUCUACUUUUUCGUGGGGGAUAACGUAGGGAAACUUACGCUAAUACCGCAUACGACCUACGGGUGAAAGCAGGGGAUCUUCGGACCUUGCGCGAUUGAAUGAGCCGAUGUCGGAUUAGCUAGUUGGCGGGGUAAAGGCCCACCAAGGCGACGAUCCGUAGCUGGUCUGAGAGGAUGAUCAGCCACACUGGAACUGAGACACGGUCCAGACUCCUACGGGAGGCAGCAGUGGGGAAUAUUGGACAAUGGGCGCAAGCCUGAUCCAGCCAUACCGCGUGGGUGAAGAGGGCCUUCGGGUUGUAAAGCCCUUUUGUUGGGAAAGAAAAGCAGCAGGUUAAUACCCCGCUGUUCUGACGGUACCCAAGGAAUAAGCACCGGCUAACUUCGUG
rnacentral:rRNA from 1 species